UGUGUGUGCCUCAGAUCCUGAGUCUGGAGCAGUCAAAGCUUUGGUCCAGGCCCAGUUUAUUGCCUUGUGCAUUUAUGUGUGAAAGUUCUGCCAUAGCCCUUAGGAACAUGGAAUUAAAAGUCUGUAGUUCCCUGGGUAACUUCUCGGUGAUGGUUUUUGUGCAAGCCUGGUUUCAGUUGUGUUUCCUCGAAACUGCAGCUCAAAAUCCUGGAUUUUAUGCACCAAGUGACAGACAGACCUCUGUGGAGCCUGCACACAGCUCUGCCAGUCACAGCAACAUGGGAUGUGAGAAACCCAAAUCCAGUUCUUCAAAUGCUCAAAGGAGACCAGCUGUCCCACGAAACAAGAAAUCAUUUGACUCACCAGGCUCCAAGGUCUGUGCAGAGGAGAGGCUUCAUCUCCUUGAAGCCCACCAUGUUCUUGUUUCGUAAGGAAGAAAGCAAGUGUAAGCAAGAGAAGCAUCCCUCCUCCCAUCUCCUCUGGCCUGCUCAGGCCUUUCCACAAGAGAGUGGUGGUGAAGCACCUCUUGAUCAUGCUGGGAACUCUUGGAAAGCAAAUGUGGGGGGCGGUACUGACCAUACCAGGAACUCCUGCUGCCUUAUCAAGGUGGGAGAUGACAGCAGGAAUAAUCAGUCACCCCUGACAGCCUUGGAAUGUUCCUUAUCUGAAAAGUAGCUCAAGUGGAACAGUGCCAUCCUCACUGGAAUUUCAUAAAUCCAGUAAUAACCCAGAUUGCAUGCAGCAUGAAAAUAUGUAAAUGUCUUAAGCCAACCAUCUCACGGCCCUAAAAACAGUGGUCCUAAGACAGACCCUUUGAACUCUUCUGGACUGCAGUGGGCUGCAUGAGUAUUUCCCUCUGUGUAGGACGCCUCUCAGAGUGCUCAGACUCUCAAGUUUGUGAAAUUCAGAGAAAUGUCAAUUCUGGCAACAGAACCUGGAUUGAUAUCCCACUACUUGAGGCUCAACACCCCAUUUCACCCCUAUUAAAAAAUGCCAAAAAGACAUUAGAUAUGAGUCUUUCACUGUUUCUCAAGGGAAGUGUUUUAGUAGAUAUACCUUUGUACUUAUACAUGACAUAUCUGCCCCUCUGUGUGUAUUACCUUUGUACAUUUGCAUACAUGUAUCUGGGGGUGUGUAUUGACUCAUACACCCUAAAAGCAAAUAUAGUAUGCAUGUUAUUAUCUUGAAUCCUUAACUGUUAUUACUGUUUGUAGUUGAUCCUUGGUUCAUCUAACAUUUAAGUGCUUCUAGAUCUUUUAGACAUAAACAAUUGACCAUGUGUGAAUCUAAGAUCGGAUCUAGCCAUGUGUGGGCAUCUCUCUGAGAAGGAGUCCAACAAGCAAGGGAGUUCACUCUGAAUCUCAUGACCUACCAGAGAGUCUCCAUUAACCUUUCCUUCCUUACCCCUUUUUACAUUCCUGGCCUCCAUAUGAAUCGCUCUAAAUUGAUUCUAAUUGGUUCUACUUUAUAUGUACUAUCCAUGCAGUAUUAGAGUGAGCCUUGCCAUCAAGCUUUGCCUGACUUUUGCAUUUGUAUUAAAGUUUGUUUUCAAUAAUAUAUUUGAUGGUGAUCCUUUAAGCAGCCUAAACCAUUCAUUUGUGUGACAGAGAAGCUCUCUCCACAGCUCUGCUGUGUUCCCUGAGGGAAGGAUUGUUUUUCAGAACCUUGUUUUAGCCAAAAUGCUGACUGAAGGCUCACACACAGGUGCUUCUGAAACACCGACAGCUGGCUCAGUUGCUUAAUUGUCCAAUGAUACAGAAAAUAAACAAACCUCCCCUCCUCUGUUUGGCUCA
ensembl:lncRNA